rnacentral:tmRNA from 1 species
GGGGGCGAUUGGGUUCGACAGGAGCAAAUCGAGUAAGGGGUGCAUGCCGAGGCGCUUGGACCUCGUAAAAACUGAGCAACUACAACUGCCGAAUACGCUCUGGCUGCAUAAGCGGUCAUGUCCUUUAGACUUUGCCUCUGGGUCUAAAAGGGCAUCGGAAAGAGGCUGGCCUUUUCCUUUUUUGACUCUAGAAGGGAAGGGCGAGAUUUUCAUAGGGUCUAGCUCUUAAGAAUCCUGCCCUGUGGAGUCUUAAGAGUGAAACAAAAAUAGGGAUAAGCAUGUAGAGCCCUUACUAGGAUGCUUCUGGACGCGGGUUCAAUUCCCGCCGCCUCCAUUU